rnacentral:rRNA from 1 species
AGUGAACGCUGGCGGUAGGCCUAACACAUGCAAGUCGAACGGCAGCACAGUAAGAGCUUGCUCUUACGGGUGGCGAGUGGCGGACGGGUGAGGAAUACAUCGGAAUCUACUUUUUCGUGGGGGAUAACGUAGGGAAACUUACGCUAAUACCGCAUACGACCUACGGGUGAAAGCAGGGGAUCUUCGGACCUUGCGCGAUUGAAUGAGCCGAUGUCGGAUUGGCUAGUUGGCGGGGUAAAGGCCAACCAGGGCGACGAUCCGUAGCUGGUCUGAGAGGAUGAUGAGCCCCAGAGGAGCUGAGAGACGGGCCGGAGUCUUAGGGAAGGCAGAGGUGGGGAAUAUUGGAAGAGGGGGGCAAUCUUGAACCAGCCAUAGCGGGUGGGUGAAGAAGGCCUGCGGGUGGUAAAGCCCUUUUGUGGGGAAAAAAAAGCAGCACGUUAAAACCCCGCUGUUCUACGGUUACCCAAAGAAUAGACACCGGUAAACUUGUG